rnacentral:rRNA from 1 species
AGUGAACGCUGGCGGUAGGCCUAACACAUGCAAGUCGAACGGCAGCACAGUAAGAGCUUGCUCUUACGGGUGGCGAGUGGCGGACGGGUGAGGAAUACAUCGUAAUCUACUUUUUCGUGGGGGAUAACGUAGGGAAACUUACUCUAAUACCGCAUACGCCCUACGGUUGAAAGCAGGGGAUCUUCGGACCUUGCGCGAUUGAAUGAGCCGAUGUCGGAUUAGCUAGUUGGCGGGGUAAAGGCCUACCAAGGCGACGAUCCGUAGCUGGUGUGAGAGGAUGAUAGGCCACACUGGAAGUGAGACACGGUCCAGACUCCUAAGGGAGGCAGCAGUGGGGAAUAUUGGACAAUGGGCGCAAGCCUGAUACAGCCAUACCGCGUGUGUGAAAAAGGCCUUCGGGUUGUAAAGCCCUUUUGUUGGGAAAGAAAAGCAGCCGGUUAAUACCCCGCUGUUCUGACGGUACCCAAAGAAUAAGCACCGGCUAACUACGUG